rnacentral:rRNA from 1 species
AUGAACGCUAGCUACAGGCUUAACACAUGCAAGUCGAGGGGCAGCAUGAACUUAGCUUGCUAAGUUUGAUGGCGACCGGCGCACGGGUGAGUAACACGUAUCCAACCUGCCGAUGACUCGGGGAUAGCCUUUCGAAAGAAAGAUUAAUACCCGAUGGCAUAGUUCUUCCGCAUGGUGGAACUAUUAAAGAAUUUCGGUCAUCGAUGGGGAUGCGUUCCAUUAGGUUGUUGGCGGGGUAACGGCCCACCAAGCCUUCGAUGGAUAGGGGUUCUGAGAGGAAGGUCCCCCACAUUGGAACUGAGACACGGUCCAAACUCCUACGGGAGGCAGCAGUGAGGAAUAUUGGUCAAUGGACGAGAGUCUGAACCAGCCAAGUAGCGUGAAGGAUGACUGCCCUAUGGGUUGUAAACUUCUUUUAUACGGGAAUAAAGUGAGGCACGCGUGCCUUUUUGUAUGUACCGUAUGAAUAAGGAUCGGCUAACUCCGUGCCAGCAGCCGCGGUAAUACGGAGGAUCCGAGCGUUAUCCGGAUUUAUUGGGUUUAAAGGGAGCGUAGGCGGACGCUUAAGUCAGUUGUGAAAGUUUGCGGCUCAACCGUAAAAUUGCAGUUGAUACUGGGUGUCUUGAGUACAGUAGAGGCAGGCGGAAUUCGUGGUGUAGCGGUGAAAUGCUUAGAUAUCACGAAGAACUCCGAUUGCGAAGGCAGCCUGCUGGACUGUAACUGACGCUGAUGCUCGAAAGUGUGGGUAUCAAACAGGAUUAGAUACCCUGGUAGUCCACACAGUAAACGAUGAAUACUCGCUGUUUGCGAUAUACAGUAAGCGGCCAAGCGAAAGCGUUAAGUAUUCCACCUGGGGAGUACGCCGGCAACGGUGAAACUCAAAGGAAUUGACGGGGGCCCGCACAAGCGGUGGAGCAUGUGGUUUAAUUCGAUGCAACGCGAAGAACCUUACCAGGUCUUGACAUCCCGAUGACCGGUUCGUAAUGGAACCUUCUCUUCGGAGCAUUGGAGACAGGUGGUGCAUGGUUGUCGUCAGCUCGUGUCGUGAGAUGUUGGGUUAAGUCCCGCAACGAGCGCAACCCUUAUGGUCAGUUACUACGCAAGAGGACUCUGGCCAGACUGCCGUUGACAAAACGGAGGAAGGUGGGGAUGACGUCAAAUCAGCACGGCCCUUACGUCCGGGGCUACACACGUGUUACAAUGGGGGGUACAGAAGGCAGCUACACGGCGACGUGAUGCUAAUCCCGAAAGCCUCUCUCAGUUCGGAUUGGAGUCUGCAACCCGACUCCAUGAAGCUGGAUUCGCUAGUAAUCGCGCAUCAGCCACGGCGCGGUGAAUACGUUCCCGGGCCUUGUACACACCGCCCGUCAAGCCAUGAAAGCCGGGGGUACCUGAAGUGCGUAACCGCGAGGAGCGCCCUAGGGUAAAACUGGUGAUUGGGGCU